CACCUUUUCCGGGGCGGGCCGCCACCCUAUAUUGCUGGUGCCGGUUCGUCCGGCUAUGGCGCUAUACGGUCGUAUGGAAUAAGCGGAGCGGACCCGGGGGCAGUGCCCGGCGCCUCCACCACAAGCGCGGCAAGGAUCGACGGGCCGCGUUUCUGUGGGGGCGAACCAGGAUCGACGCACGUGGUAAAGGUACGGCCGGUGCCCGGCAUGGUUCCGCCGUUAUCGGGCCAAACGCAAAGUGCCAACGAUAACGAGAUGGCGCUCGCUGCCUAACUAAACCUUAGGCAAGCGCGGUUCGGGGGGCACCGGGCAACAGAAGCCCCCCACC
rnacentral:tmRNA from 1 species